AGAGUUUGAUCAUGGCUCAGGAUGAACGCUGGCGGCGUGCUUAACACAUGCAAGUCGAACGGGAAUGCUUCGCUGAUGCGAUUUCGGUCAAAUCUUGAAGCAUUUUAGUGGCGGACGGGUGAGUAACGCGUGGGUAACCUGCCCUGUACAGGGGGACAACAGUUGGAAACGACUGCUAAUACCGCAUAAGCGCACAGCUUCGCAUGAAGCAGUGUGAAAAACUCCGGUGGUACAGGAUGGACCCGCGUUUGAUUAGAUAGUUGGUGAGGUAACGGCCCACCAAGUCAACGAUCAGUAGCCGGCCUGAGAGGGCGAACGGCCACAUUGGGACUGAGACACGGCCCAAACUCCUACGGGAGGCUGCAGUGGGGAAUAUUGCACAAUGGGGGAAACCCUGAUGCAGCGACGCCGCGUGAGUGAAGAAGUAUUUCGGUAUGUAAAGCUCUAUCAGCAGGGAAGAAAACAAUGACGGUACCUGACUAAGAAGCCCCGGCUAACUACGUGCCAGCAGCCGCGGUAAUACGUAGGGGGCAAGCGUUAUCCGGAUUUACUGGGUGUAAAGGGAGCGUAGACGGUAGACCAAGUCUGAAGUGAAAGCCCGGGGCUCAACCCCGGAACUGCUUUGGAAACUGGUAAACUAGAGUGCAGGAGAGGUAAGUGGAAUUCCUAGUGUAGCGGUGAAAUGCGCAGAUAUUAGGAGGAACACCAGUGGCGAAGGCGGCUUACUGGACUGUAACUGACGUUGAGGCUCGAAAGCGUGGGGAGCAAACAGGAUUAGAUACCCUGGUAGUCCGCACGGUAAACGAUGGAUGCCCGCUGUUGGUCUGAACAGGUCAGCGGCCAAGCGAAAGCAUUAAGCAUCCCACCUGGGGAGUACGCCGGCAACGGUGAAACUCAAAGGAAUUGACGGGGGCCCGCACAAGCGGAGGAACAUGUGGUUUAAUUCGAUGAUACGCGAGGAACCUUACCCGGGCUUGAAUUGCAGAGGAAGGAUUCGGAGACAAUGACGCCCUUCGGGGUCUCUGUGAAGGUGCUGCAUGGUUGUCGUCAGCUCGUGCCGUGAGGUGUCGGCUUAAGUGCCAUAACGAGCGCAACCCCUCUCCUUAGUUGCCAUCAGGUUAAGCUGGGCACUCUGGGGACACUGCCACCGUAAGGUGUGAGGAGGGUGGGGAUGACGUCAAAUCAGCACGGCCCUUACGUCCGGGGCUACACACGUGUUACAAUGGCAGGUACAGAGAGACGGUUGUACGUAAGUACGAUCAAAUCCUUAAAGCCUGUCUCAGUUCGGACUGGGGUCUGCAACCCGACCCCACGAAGCUGGAUUCGCUAGUAAUCGCGCAUCAGCCAUGGCGCGGUGAAUACGUUCCCGGGCCUUGUACACACCGCCCGUCAAGCCAUGAAAGCCGGGGGCGCCUAAAGUCCGUGACCGUAAGGAGCGGCCUAGGGCGAAACUGGUAAUUGGGGCUAAGUCGUAACAAGGUA
rnacentral:rRNA from 1 species